GAGUCCCAUGAUGAGGACACUUACGAAGAAAUUCCUUGAAUCUUUCCCACGCCUGAUAUAGGGUCUUGUGAUCCAAUUAUUGAAAAGUAGUUAUCGCAUUUUGCAACUU
rfam:Gossypium arboreum cultivar AKA8401 contig_73751_1, whole genome shotgun sequence.